AGAGAAUAUACCGGUUCUCGUUAGAUCACCGAAGUUAAGCAUCAUUGGGCGCGGUCAGUACUUGGGUGGGUGACCACCUGGGAACACUGCGUGCCGUU
rnacentral:rRNA from 1 species